rnacentral:rRNA from 1 species
GACGAACGCUGGCGGUGGGCUUAACACAUGCAAGUCGAACGGAAAGGCCCUGCUUUCGUGGGGUGCUCGAGUGGCGAACGGGUGAGUAACACGUGAGCAACCUGCUCUUGUUUUUGGGAUAACUUCGGGAAACUGGGGUUAAUACCGGAUAGGAGCCCCCGUUGCAUGGUGGGGGUUGGAAAGUUUCGGCGGGUGGGGAUGGACUCGCGGCUGAUCAGCUUGUUGGUGGGGUAGGGGCUUACCAAGGCAUUGGCGGGUCGGCGGCCUGAGAGGGGGGACGGGCACAUUACGACUAAGGGAGGGACCAGACUGGUACGGUGGACAAAGGUGGCGAGUAUUACACAGUGAUAGGGAGCCGGAGGCGGAGGCGCCGCGGUCGUAAAGACGUCCUUUGGGUUAAGAACAGCUUCAGCCUAAGACGAAGCGGGUGUGACGGUAAUGAAUGAAGAAGCACCGGCUAACUACGUG